ACGACUCUCGGCAACGGAUAUCUCGGCUCUCGCAUCGAUGAAGAACGCAGCGAAAUGCGAUACUUGGUGUGAAUUGCAGAAUCCCGUGAACCAUCGAGUCUUUGAACGCAAGUUGCGCCCAAAGCCAUUAGGCCGAGGGCACGUCUGCCUGGGCGUCACG
rnacentral:rRNA from 1 species